GACGAACGCUGGCGGCGUGCUUAACACAUGCAAGUCGAACGGAAAGGCCCUGCUUUUGUGGGGUGCUCGAGUGGCGAACGGGUGAGUAACACAUGAGUAACCUGCCCUUGACUUUGGGAUAACUUCAGGAAACUGGGGCUAAUACCGGAUAGGAGCUCCUGCUGCAUGGUGGGGGUUGGAAAGUUUCGGCGGUUGGGGGUGGACUCGCGGCUUAUCAGCUUGUUGGUGGGGUAGUGGCUUACCAAGGCUUUGACGGGUAGCCGGCCUGAGAGGGUGACCGGCCACAUUGGGACUGAGAUACGGCCCAGACUCCUACGGGAGGCAGCAGUGGGGAAUAUUGCACAAUGGGCGGAAGCCUGAUGCAGCAACGCCGCGUGCGGGAUGACGGCCUUCGGGUUGUAAACCGCUUUCGCCUGUGACGAAGCGUGAGUGACGGUAAUGGGUAAAGAAGCACCGGCUAACUACGUG
rnacentral:rRNA from 1 species